GUACGUCAGACUUCCAAGAAAAGCUCGCAAUGUCAUAAAUAAAUAAUGCCUGUACCAUAACCGACACAGGUGGGUAGGUAGAGUAUACUAAGGGGCGCGAGAUAACUCUCUCUAAGGAACUCGGCAAAAUGACUCCGUAACUUCGGGAGAAGGAGUGCCUUAUUUAUAAGGUUGCAAUAACAAGAUCCAAGCAACUGUUUAUCAAAAACACAGGUCUCCGCUAAGUCGUAAGACGAUGUAUGGGGGCUGACGCCUGCCCAGUGCCAGAAGGUUAAAGAAGUUGGUUAGUGUAUGCGAAGCUGAUGACUGAAGCCCUGGUGAACGGCGGCCGUAACAAUAACGGUCCUAAGGUAGCGAAAUUCCUUGUCGGGUAAGUUCCGACCCGCACGAAAGGCGUAAUGAUUUGGAUACUGUCUCGGAGAGAGGCUCGGUGAAAUAGACUUGUCUGUGAAGAUGCGGACUACCUGCACCAGGACAGAAAGACCCUAUGAAGCUUUACUGUAACUUGAAAUUGGAAUUGGACUUUGCUUGCGCAGUAUAGGUGGGAAGCGUUGAAGAUAUUCUUGCGGGAGUAUUGGAGCUAUCAGUGAGAUACCACUCUUGUAAUGUUAGAUUUCUAACUUUGAACCAUAAUCUGGUCAAAGAACAGUUUCAGGUGGGCAGUUUGACUGGGGCGGUCGCCUCCCAAAUGGUAACGGAGGCGUACAAAGGUUUCCUCUGAACGGAUAGAAAUCGUAUCUAGAGUGUAAAGGCAUAAGGAAGCUUGACUGUGAGACCUACAAGUCGAGCAGGGACGAAAGUCGGUCUUAGUGAUCUGACGGUACUGAGUGGAAAGGCCGUCACUCAACGGAUAAAAGUUACUCUAGGGAUAACAGGCUGAUCUCCCCCAAGAGUUCACAUCGACGGGGAGGUUUGGCACCUCGAUGUCGGCUCAUCGCAUCCUGGGGCGGUAGUACGUCCCAAGGGUUGGGCUGUUCGCCCAUGAAAGCGGUACGCGAGCUGGGUUCAGAACGUCGUGAGACAGUUCGGUCCAUAUCCGGUGUAGGCGUUAGAAUAUUGAGAGGAGCCUUCUUUAGUACGAGAGGACCGAGAAGGACACACCGCUGGUGUACCAGUUAUCGUGCCAACGGUAAACGCUGGGUAGCUAUGUGUGGAGUGGAUAACCGCUGAAAGCAUCUAAGUGGGAAGCCCACCUCAAGAUGAGUAUUCU
rnacentral:rRNA from 1 species